UGAUUCUCGAAGCGGCGACCGUUGCUCUGGUUAUUAUUGGGGCAUAAUCCGGCCCCUCUAGCAAACCCAUCGACCGUUCCAAUAAUACCUCCGGCAACUCCUCCGGUAACUCCUCCGAUAAGCUUAUCAAGCAUUUUUCUUUAUAUAUAUAUAUUCUUGUUUAGUUUUCUUUGAUAUGGAUGAGUGAUUACAAACUUUCAGGGUGUUUCUCUAUAUAUACAGAAUUCCUGUAGUACUAUAAUCUAGUGUUCAUUAGAGAGUUAGUGUUUGAUAUGAUUCCCUUUGGAUAUCAUUCGUAAUUUCAUGGUAUGAUCAUAUGAAUCUUAUUCUUUUUUCUACCACCACCAUACCGAAAGUUGAAUAGACAUGUUUGUUCUAAUUCCGUUCGUCUUUUUAAUUAGAGAUCAGUCCCAUUCACAUAGGAAAUUCCAAUUUCAAAUUGGCUGAAUAUUGGUGGAAGCGUAAUAAUGGAACUAGAAAUUAAACCUAGUCUAGUUCUAUUUAUUACGGAUUUUAAUUUCUGAUUUUAUAAUUCUUUUGAGUAGCGUUGUGUAACUUAGUUUUUUUUUUUUGUUCUAUGUACUUUCCCAAAAGCUAGGUAACAUGAGUAACGCGGCCGUGUUAGGCUAUAUAUGGAGAACACUUGCUUAUGAAUGGUCUGGCGGACUUAAAGAUCCAACUGACGAGAACAGAUGAUGACCCAACUGCACGACGAGAUACUAUGCCGUUUUCAAACUAUAGACACAAAAUUUAUUAACGAAAAAAAAAAAAAAAGAACUCUCAAGGUUACUCUCAAAGCAUCAACUGAAUCAUGAAGAGC
rnacentral:lncRNA from 1 species